CAGCCGCCGCGGUAAUACAGAGGGUGCGAGUGUUAAUCGGAUUUACUGGGCGUAAAGCGUGCGUAGGCGGCUUCUUAAGUCGGAUGUGAAAUCCCUGAGCUUAACUUAGGAAUUGCAUUCGAUACUGGGAAGCUAGAGUAUGGGAGAGGAUGGUAGAAUUCCAGGUGUAGCGGUGAAAUGCGUAGAGAUCUGGAGGAAUACCGAUGGCGAAGGCAGCCAUCUGGCCUAAUACUGACGCUGAGGUACGAAAGCAUGGGGAGCAAACAGGAUUAGAUACCCCAGUAGUCCCUGUCUCUUAUAC
rnacentral:rRNA from 1 species